ACGGGAGGCAGCAGUGGGGAAUAUUGCACAAUGGGGGAAACCCUGAUGCAGCAACGCCGCGUGAGUGAAGAAGUAUUUCGGUAUGUAAAGCUCUAUCAGCAGGAAAGAAAAUGACGGUACCUGACUAAGAAGCCCCGGCUAACUACGUGCCAGCAGCCGCGGUAAUACGUAGGGGGCAAGCGUUAUCCGGAUUUACUGGGUGUAAAGGGAGCGUAGACGGCUUUGCAAGUCUGAAGUGAAAGCCCGGGGCUCAACCCCGGAACUGCUUUGGAAACUGUAGAGCUAGAGUACAGGAGAGGUAAGCGGAAUUCCUAGUGUAGCGGUGAAAUGCGUAGAUAUUAGGAGGAACACCAGUGGCGAAGGCGGCUUACUGGACUGUAACUGACGUUGAGGCUCGAAAGCGUGGGGAGCAAACAGGAUUAGAUACCCUGGUA
rnacentral:rRNA from 1 species